rnacentral:rRNA from 1 species
GAUGAACGCUGGCGGCGUGCCUAAUACAUGCAAGUCGAGCGAAUGGAUUAAGAGCUUGCUCUUAUGAAGUUAGCGGCGGACGGGUGAGUAACACGUGGGUACCCUGCCCAUAAGACUGGGAUAACUCCGGGAAACCGGGGCUAAUACCGGAUAAUAUUUUGAACUGCAUGGUUCAAAAUUGAAAGGCGGCUUCGGCUGUCACUUAUGGAUGUACCCGCGUCGCAUUAGCUAGUUGGUGAGGUCACGGCUCACCAAGGCAACGAUGCGUAGCCGACCUGAGAGGGUGAUCGGCCACACUGGGCCUGAGACACGGCCCAGACUCCUACGGGAGGCAGCAGUAGGGAAUCUUCCGCAAUGGACGAAAGUCUGACGGAGCAACGCCGCGUGAGUGAUGAAGGCUUUCGGGUCGUAAAACUCUGUUGUUAGGGAAGAACAAGUGCUAGUUGAAUAAGCUGGCACCUUGACGGUACCUAACCAGAAAGCCACGGCUAACUACGUGCCAGCCGCCGCAGUAA